AUUGAACGCUAGCGGGAUGCUUUACACAUGCAAGUCGAACGGCAGCGCGGACUUCGGUCUGGCGGCGAGUGGCGAACGGGUGAGUAAUGUAUCGGAACGUGCCCAGUAGCGGGGGAUAACUACGCGAAAGCGUAGCUAAUACCGCAUACGCCCUACGGGGGAAAGCAGGGGAUCGUAAGACCUUGCACUAUUGGAGCGGCCGAUAUCGGAUUAGCUAGUUGGUGAGGUAACGGCUCACCAAGGCGACGAUCCGUAGCUGGUUUGAGGGGACGACCAGCCACACUGGGACUGAGACACGGCCCAGACUCCUACGGUAGGCAGCAGUGGGGAAUUUUGGACAAUGGGGGCAACCCUGAUCCAGCCAUCCCGCGUGUGCGAUGAAGGCCUUCGGGUUGUAAAGCACUUUUGGCAGGAAAGAAACGUCGCGGGCUAAUACCCCGUGGAACUGACGGUACCUGCAGAAUAAGCACCGGCUAACUACGUG
rnacentral:rRNA from 1 species